ACAGGAUGGAUCUGUGGCUGAA
rnacentral:miRNA from 1 species